rnacentral:rRNA from 1 species
UACAGAGGGUGCAAGCGUUAAUCGGAAUUACUGGGCGUAAAGCGUGCGUAGUCGGUUAUCUAAGUCGGGUGUGAAAUCCCCGGGCUCAACCUGGGAAUUGCGAUGGAGACUGCAAGGCUAGAAUCUGGCAGAGGGGGUAGAAUUCCACGUGUAGCAGUGAAAUGCGUAGAGAUGUGGAGGAACACCGAUGGCGAAGGCAGCCCCUGGGUCAAGAUUGACGCUCAUGCACGAAAGCGUGGGGAGCAAACAGG